GGAAAGAAAAAGGCUAAGCUUCACUCUCGCCGGUUGGUCCCCCAGGGGAAGGGGAAGGAGAGGGGGGAAAACAGCAGCAUAGGUGGCUGGCAGAGACAAAGGAAAGACCAGCAGACAGGAAAAAGAACUAGGAGAGGAAGUCAGAAAAAAAGAAAGCAAAAACAGCAAGCACAGCGGCGCCAGGAAGAGAGCAGAGGAGGUACCACCCCUAGAAUUUCCAGUACACCAGCACCAGCCUGAAAACCACGUCCUCAUCAAAAGACAGAAAGAGAAAACUUGAGCCAGCCUGGGAAGAACCCUAUUUUAUGCUGUUAACCACUGAGACUGCCAUCCGCAGAGCCAAGAAAAAAAUGACCACACUCCAGUCAAGAAAACAUCUUUCUCUCAGAAUCAUGGAUGACUGUACUAGGACCAAUCCUACUAAGUUAAAGUUAAAGAAAGCUUAAUUUUCAUGUACCUUCUAUAUUGCUUCCUUUCCUUAUUGUUACUAGCGCCUUUGUCAUUAUUGUAACUAACUCACCUCAGACCACUGCCUUGAAUGCUUGUUCUGUCAUACCUUGCGGAAAUGUAAAAGAUCAACAACAGCUAGCCUUUUCACACAAAUGCUUACGUCCCAGCCCUCUGAUGGACACGGUUACCCCUAGCUGUCAUUAUUGUAAUGACCUGUAGCCAAGAUGCCAAUGUUCUGCUCCUAUAGCCUGCCAACUUUGUAGUAAACGGGACUAUACACAUUCAACUGCUCAGGAGCAAAGUUAAACUUCCACGAAAAAGGUCUGUGCAGAUCUAAAACCCCUCACCUAUUUCACUGAAAGGACUACCCUUUCGAACUGUCAGCCUUAUCAGUGUAACCCUGUCCUUCUCUAUCACCACCUCCACCUUAACUAACUCUAGACCUGCCCUCAGUCGCUUCUGUGGUAUGGGGAUUGACAUAAAUGGAAAAGACCCCCUAGGUAUUUUUUAAAUACGCAUUAUUCCCCCAUCUCCCCCUUCUUCAGUAGCCUCAGUUCUAGAUCUCACACCGGUUGCUUCUACAUCUAAUAAUAAAACUAGGGUGUCUAUUGUAAAAAUAAGAGCUCUAAAACAGACCUUAGCCAUCGAGAGAGUAUCAAGAUGCAAAUCCCUGGCUGAAAUGGAUUAAAUAUUCCGUUCGCACUUUAAAUAAAAGCGAUUGUUACGCAUCAGGUUGUAAA